rnacentral:rRNA from 1 species
UACAGAGGGUGCGAGCGUUAAUCGGAAUUACUGGGCGUAAAGCGUGCGUAGACGGUUACAUAAGUCGGGUGUGAAAGCCCCGGGCUCAACCUGGGAAUUGCAUUCGAGACUGCGUAGCUAGGGUGCGGAAGAGGGAAGCGGAAUUUCCGGUGUAGCGGUGAAAUGCGUAGAUAUCGGAAGGAACACCAGUGGCGAAGGCGGCACCCUGGACCAGCACUGACACUGAGGCACGAAAGCGUGGGGAGCAAACAGG